rnacentral:rRNA from 1 species
UGGGGAAUCUUCCGCAAUGGACGAAAGUCUGACGGAGCAACGCCGCGUGAGUGAUGACGGUCUUCGGAUUGUAAGGCUCUGUUAAUCGGGACGAAUGGUUUGUGUGCAAAUAGUGCAUAGACAUGACGGUACCGGAAUAGAAAGCCACGGCUAACUACGUGCCAGCAGCCGCGGUAAUACGUAGGUGGCAAGCGUUGUCCGGAAUUAUUGGGCGUAAAGCGCGCGCAGGCGGACUAGCCAGUCAGUCUUAAAAGUUCGGGGCUUAACCCCGUGAUGGGAUUGAAACUACUAGUCUAGAGUAUCGGAGAGGAAAGUGGAAUUCCUAGUGUAGCGGUGAAAUGCGUAGAUAUUAGGAAGAACACCAGUGGCGAAGGCGACUUUCUGGACGAACACUGACGCUGAGGCGCGAAAGCCAGGGGAGCGAACGGG